GCUUUCGUGGUGCACCAGUAGCACACUUGGCGCAUAUUCAAGAGGUUCAGGUUCGAAUCCUGGCAAGCGCA
rnacentral:tRNA from 1 species